AAUAGAUACCCUGGUAGUCCACGCCGUAAACGUUGGAUACUAGGUGUGGCGUCCCGAUCAACGGAUGCCGUGCCGAAGCUAACGCAUUAAGUAUCCCGCCUGGGGAGUACGGCCGCAAGGCUAAAACUCAAAGGAAUUGACGGGUCCCCGCACAAGCGGCGGAGCAUGCGGCUUAAUUCGAUGCAACCCGAAGAACCUUACCUGGGUUUGAAAUCAUGGGAAAAGCUGUAGAAAUACAGUGUCCGUAAGGGCCCAUGACAGGUGGUGCAUGGCUGUCGUCAGCUCGUGUCGUGAGAUGUUGGGUUAAGUCCCGCAACGAGCGCAACCCUUGUCCUAUGUUGCCAGCGGUUCGGCCGGGGACUCAUAGGAGACUGCCGGGGAUAACUCGGAGGAAGGUGAGGACGACGUCAAGUCAUCAUGCCCCUUAUAUCCAGGGCUGCACGCAUGCUACAAUGGUCGGUACAACGGGCAGCGACCCCGCGAGGGUGAGCGAAUCCCACAAAGCCGGCCUCAGUUCGGAUUGGAGUCUGC
rnacentral:rRNA from 1 species